AAAAUUCAACAAAAAAAAAUAACCGUCAAUAUUAUAACGGAAAGUUGCAAUGAAGAGACACAACCGAGGAAAAAUAACGGUCAAUAUUUU
rnacentral:sRNA from 1 species